UUGUUUUCCUUCUUCUCUCUCUGCUUUCUCCUUCGCCACUUCGCUAUCGAAUCACAGAGAUGCCGAUCGGUCUCUCGCCGUCGACCUCGUCGUCUCCUCGAUCCAUAAUCGGCCUGCGUUCCUACUUUCCCCCCUCAGAUUUGUAGAUCGUAUGCAUCUGGCGGAAGCUCCUAGUCGACUACUUCAUUGGCUUCUUUUGGCGGCUUGCAUUUGAAGAAAACAGAACUGAUCUACUCGAAUCUGAUGCAUCCGGAAAAGAGAAAGCACAAUCGCUCAGUACAACACAGUUCUUCCACUAUCGGCGGCACGUCUCGGCCUGCAGAGCACAAACUGCAUGGAGGCAUCUGCAGUGAAGGUACAGUACCUUUAGGUAUGAUGCAAACGCGGACUCUGAGCUUCCAACUUUAAUUUGUCUUAAUUGCAUUCUUAAAUUCUUAAUUAAUUAUUAGCUGCAUAGAUUAAUUGCAAAUGAACUGUGGAGGCUGCAUAACGAAAUCGCUAAUUAGUAUGGGAAAUAAAGUUUGGUUGGCAAUCGAAAUUGGAGCAACUGAAAUAUUAGUUCGCUAAUUUGUGUUGACACAUAGGGAAAAAAAAUCUAAAUACUCUGACUAACAUUAUGAAAUUAUUGGGAUUUAUUUUUCCAUAAAGAGAGCAAGGAUAAAAUUAUUAUUGUGUGAUGUUGUAAUCAUGAAUUUAAAUCCUGAAAAUAAUUAUUUUCCAUAUAAGAUAAAUAAUGGAUGGUGCAAGCCUUUUUCGAGUAAAUCUCAAUGUCCAAAAUUUACCCAGUCAGAAUUUAAAUAUAAGUCUUUUAUUAUUACAUGCAAUUUUAAUUAAUACAUCUCAAUCAAAAAAUGAAUGUUAAGAGUUUCAUUCUGAUAUUCUGAUUAUUUAGCAUUGUCUUUUAUGAAAUUACCAUAUUAACGAAACUAGAUGGGAUUAUUUUUUUACUUUCCACGAAGAGAGCAACUCACUUUAAGGUCUAUUUAAUUUGUCAAUAUAUUUCUAUUACAUAAAUCAACCUAUCAGUACCAACGGUUAGUCAUUAAAAAUCAGUACACGUAAUUAAAUUAUAGUACUGAUUUUUAAAUAUUAAUAUCACAUUAAUUAUUGCUGCAUGUAAUCAUUUUAAGAGAGAAUUUUAUUUUAAUUUAAUUAGAAAGAGGAAAAAAUAUUGAAUGUAGAUGAGAGAGAUUAAAAAAAUAAAUUUUGAUCUUUUUAGAUUGUUCACGUCAAAUGUCACCGGCUUAUUCAAAGAUGUGUAGGGUAAUAUUCUUGUAUGUGUUUAUAUAUAUAUAUUUAGUAUACAUUUCUUUUUUCCCCACGCUUC